rnacentral:rRNA from 1 species
UACAGAGGGGGCAAGCGUUGUUCGGAAUUACUGGGCGUAAAGGGCGCGUAGGCGGCCUGUUAAGUCGAACGUGAAAUCCCCGGGCUCAACCCGGGAACUGCGUCCGAUACUGGCAGGCUUGAAUUCGGGAGAGGGAUGCGGAAUUCCAGGUGUAGCGGUGAAAUGCGUAGAUAUUGGGAGGAACACCAGUGGCGAAGGCGACUGCCUGGACGGCACCUGACGCUGAGGCGCGAAAGCUAGGGGAGCAAACGGG